CCUUCACCUGCGCCCGGGAGAGGCGGCGGGAGGCAGCAUCCCCGCGCCGCGGCCGGGGCGGGAGGCCGGCGCCGCGUCUGCUCGUGUCAGCGCGAGGGGGCAGGGAAAAGUUGUCCUAGGGUUCCCCAUCCCGGUCGCCCCCGGGACAAAAGCCCUGUGCCGUAUCGAUCAUCCGUAGGUGUCCUGGCGAAGGUGUGGGGGCCAAAACCAGAGCUGGGGGGGGGGCGGGGAACAAACAAAAGCCACCCCCUGGGAGCCGGAGGCGAGCUGGCCUUCUUUCGAGUGACAAGCCACGAGGAGCGUUUUCAUCGCUUUCUUAAAAAAUCGGGGUCUGCCGCUGUGGCGAAAAGGCGGUGUAAAGAAAACCAAAUCUAUGUGCCUCAGAGACGAGUUGGACAUUGGUAUGUAAAUCAUGUAACUUGUUUAAAAAACAGUAACUGCUUAAGCGGGGUUUAAUUGGCAAGUAAAAUAUGUACUGUGAAAAAGUAAAGGACAUGUCUGCCAAAUGAGAUAGGUUAAAAUAAUUUGUAAUUGUUUUUCUAAAAAGGAUCCCUAAUUUAUAUAUUGUUUCUAGCAUUAAUUCCUCAGUGGCUGUUUCAUAUACUUAUUUUUCUCUUUCCAUUAGAAGUUAGGAAAAGAAAUCAUUAAAAGACUCAUCAUUUGUAGAAUGGAUUAGAUUUUAGCGCUUUCAUUUAUUCAUGCCUCUCCUCUGAAUUUAUUCUGGAUCUUUACUUUCACCUUCUAUUUGUAUGCACCUUUCUGUUUUCUUGCUUUUUAUUAUCAACUUCACUUUAAAGUGUGACUUUCCUGUCUCUCUGUUGUCUGCUUCUCCUUAGUGCUGGCUGUUUUCUAGCUGCCCUUCAUUACCCAGAUGAAUUCCAGCUUCUGGAACUCAUCAAAUGAAUUCCACCUUCUGGAAUUCAUCAAAGACACCUUGAGUCCUAGUUAUCACUAAUUUAAACUCAGACAUCCCAGUAAUUGUUAGGAUUAAUGGGGCCCUUCUACUGUACAACCCAGCGACUAGAGAGAUGAGUUCUAGGGUAGAGGGAGUGGGGGAGUCUCAAGGGAGAAGGAAUGGCAUGGAAGAGAUCUUCCAAGGAUUUUAAAAUUUUAUCCCUAAAAUGUAAGGUAAAAUCAAAGUUCAGUCCUGAAAUCUGAAUGGACUGGAAGUUGUGAGGGCAGCUGCUAUACCUCAAAUUCGGAAUCUUUGGCACCCAUAGGAGUGCCUGCUGACUUGAAUUAUUGUUAGAACUGCUGCUUCCUUCAGGAUGCUCUGUGGUAGGCUGGGGAGACAGUGUACCCGGGUUUAAGAGGGUACAGACUUUGAAAUAAGUCUGUUGGUGUUUGAAUCCCAUCUCUGCCACUUUGUGAUAUUGGACAAGACAUUCAGUUUCUCAAAGCUUCAGUUUCCUCAUUUGUCAUAUGGUGGAGGGGCAUAUGAAAUAUGAAGUAAGUCCCUGCUCUCAGAAAGGAAAGUGGAACGCACGUACAGGAGGUAACUAACAACCUAAGGGCCUAUGGUAAAUGGCAAAGGAGCUUUUAACUAAAGGACUGAAAAGGGAGGAGUGAUUGCUGAGUAGAUGAAAAUUUCGGGAGGAGACUGGACUUGACCCGAGCUUUGAAGGACCAGGGGAGCAAGUGAGAGGAACAGGCUCCUUGAAGCCAGAUUGCCUGUGCGUUUGAAUCCUAGCCCUGCUUCUUUGUAAUCUUAAGCAAGACGCUUCACCUCCUGAAUAAAAUUUUUGAGGGACUUAAAUCCCCAGUACUUAGACCAGUGCCUCACACAUGUGAGAGCUUGGUAAGUUAUUACAAGUUGGGAGAUGGGGUAGAGAGAACAUGAAGUGAUCUUGACAGGGGCUUACUCUAGGUGUGUUUGAAAUGAUGAGGUCAGAUUGGUUGGAAGGGAACCCACUGGGAAAUGGUGAUGACAUUGGGGCGGAAUUCUGAGUGAUUAAGACAGGAAGUGUGGCAUCUCUUCCAUAAGAACCGAAGGAACUUGGGAGGAUUUCUUGGGUUAUUUGUGAAGAGUGCUUGUGUUUUAUAGAUCACCCUUUCAAGUCUAUAGCUCUAGUGUUUCUCCUGUUCCUGAUUUCAGCAUAACUGCAUCUUCUAUUCAGACUCUUUCUGACACUGAAGCUCCUGAUCGUCUGUCCUGAAUCACUAUGCCUCUAAUUGGUGGAAUGGUUUUGUAAACGUGAUUUUGACUGACUUUUCCCUCUCCGUAGUCCAGUUGUUUAUGUAAUGUUUAUUUCUUUUCUCCAGUUUAGUGGGUGUUUGCUACAGUUUUUUUGCUCUGUGCUUGAAACCCCAGUCUAGAUGUAAGUCAUAAAGC
rnacentral:lncRNA from 1 species